CCCUACUUACAUACUUUACUACAAUUGAUAAAAAGAGGGUUUAAUUUUGUGUGUUAACUUAUUUUUCACAUCAAAUUUUGGCGCCGUUGCCGGGGAUUAGCAAGUUUGCUAAUCUCUUGGAUUGUUUUCUUUCGAAUUAUUGUAUUUUGUUUAAGUUUCUGUUUAAGUUGCUGAUUUAUUUUGUUUUCUUUGUUUUUAGGUACUAGUUUAUGACCCGUAGCUCACAAC
rnacentral:lncRNA from 1 species